AGAGAGAAGAGAGUUGAGAGAGAAGAGAGUUGAGAGUUGAGAGAGAGAGAGAGCGAGAGAGAGAGAGAGAGAGAGAGAGAUUAGUGUGGUUUACAGUAUGGUUAGUGUGGUGUACAGUAUGGGGCCUCAGCCAGACAUGAGGCUCCCUGCAUCGGCCAUGUCUACAAGGGGACAGCGGAGAGGGAAAGUCACUUUCAACUUCUGAGAAGAAAAUGCAAAGAUGUCCAAUUACAUGAUCCCUUUGUGACCACUAACCAACGUAGAAGACACAGGACACAGGAGACUGCAUUACCUGGAGGGAUGGAGGGACACAGGACACAGGAGACUGCAUUACCUGGAGGGAUGGAGGGAGGGACACAGGACACAGGAGACUGCAUUACCUGGAGGGAUGAAGGGACACAGGAGACUGCAUUACCUUGAGGGAUGGAUGGAGGGACACAGGACACAGGAGACUGCAUUACCUGGAGGGAUGGAGGGACACAGGACACAGGAGACUGCAUUACCUGGAGGGAUGGAGGGAGGGACACAGGACACAGGAGACUGCAUUACCUGGAGGGAUGGAUGGAGGGACACAGUAUAUCGCUAUGCAUCAAAAUUACAGCUCAGAGUGUUUAUAGUUUGUGUCAAACCACAUGAGCGCUGGCCCUGAAAACCACUCUUAGCAUCGACAAGCCCUCCCGUUGAAAAGGUUAGCAUUUAGCCAAAGGCUUUCCAAUAAGAUCACGGAUGGAGAAAAAAAAGAAACACCCUGCAUGUUUUCCUGUUUCUCUUUACACUCACAUUCACCUCCAAAUGUCAGCAGCAGUAUUGAUCAGGGAAGAAAAAUACAACGUGAGUCACGGAUGGACGAGGAAAUCAUAUUUCAUAACCUGACGUCUGCAUUUGUCAGUCAAAGGGUCAAUCGUAUUUGCGAGAGGUAAUCUUGUGUUGUAGUAUUUGGAAGAUGCGUUGGAUAAUGUGGUUAUCAGGAGGAAAUUACGUUGCUAAGAUAGCAACCGCCAGGACAAGUCUCUGCACACUUUCUGUUCAGGUGGUCAUAAUAGCCGUGAGCUAGAAUGCAGAGCCGAUACAUGGGGUCAAAAAGUCAACGCCCUAGCAACGAGUUCCUGCUCAUUAUAAAAUAGCUCCUAUGGCACCUAGCACCUUGUUAGUGGUUAACCAUCUUAAAGUACAGACAUUCUCUGUCUCACCAUUGACUUCUCCCGAGUUGGUCUUAUUUUUCUCCCCUCCUUCCUUCCUAAGCAGGCAAUCAAUUCUCUCACUGCACUCAUAACACAUUGCCAUGUUUCUAGUUGGGUUCCAUCUUUGAAAUCUGUCAAGGGUGGUUGCUACUAGAAACGAGAACGACAGAGAAAGGACUGAGUCAUCAUUUGGACAAAGUUUUUACUAACCAUUUACAUUCUGACGCAAAGGUCACAGUGGGCUGUUUAAUCAAUGUGUCUUUUCAGAAAUUAAACUCACUCGUUUUCUGGUGGGUUACAGAUAUGAAAGCCAAACCCAGUAAAAGUUUGGUUUCAUAAGCAAAAUAAAGUUGAUAAUAUGUAUUUAUUAGAAAUUUAGCAGGAUGAAAUCUCUUGAGAAAAGUUGCUUAUUCUCAGGCUGACCUAAAGUCGGUUAUUCUGACUGAUCUAAAGUUGGUUAUUCUCAGGCUGAUCUAAAGUUGGUUAUUCUCAGACUGAUCUAAAGUUGGUUAUUCUGACUGAUCUAAAGUUGGUUAUUCUGACUGAUCUAAAGUUGGUUAUUCUGACUGAUCCAAAGUUGGUUAUUCUCAGACUGAUCUAAAGUUGGUUAUUCUCAGACUGAUCUAAAGUUGGUUAUUCUCAGACUGAUCUAAAGUUGGUUAUUCUCAGGCUGAUCUAAAGUUGGGUAUUCUGACCGAUCUAAAGUUGGUUAUUCUCAGGCUGAUCUAAAGUUGGUCAUUCUCAGGCUGAUCUAAAGUUGGUUAUUCUCAGGCUGGUCUAAAGAUGGGAAUUAUCAGGCUGAUCUAAAAGAUGGGAAUUAUCAGGCUGAUCUAAAAUUGGGAAUUCUCAGGCUGAUCUAAAGUUGGGAAUUCUCUUACUUUUUCUCCAGCUCAUCCCUGCAGUCCCCCCUUGCUGCUUUCAAAUUAACAUAUUAAGUAAAGCAAUUUACGUGGGACGUUUUUUGGGCAACGAUUCAAUACAAUUAAAACAACCCACGGAAACAAUGUCAUAUCAACAGUAACUCAUAAUUAACUGUGCAAAAAAGAUUUUUUUUUUACCGUGAUGAAUGUAUCUCUCGAUGCAAUUAUAAUGGGUUUUUUUCUUCCCAUUUGAAGAGUGAUUGUAUGAAAGCAAAUAGAGCCAUUGCCACUUUGUAGUGUGCGACUGUAGGCUUCAAGGUGGUCUGAGUUCUUGUUCUUUUGUGUUCGAGGCUACAUUGAAACGUCUUGCUGUAUUUACUGAAGUAAACUGUAUGUGUCACUUACAAUGCAUUGUUUAGGUAUUGGACAAAUCUUGAACACUGUUAUUGUCUAGGCCUGUCCUAUCAUUGCUACCAUUCACCAUAGUAUGCACUUUAACACAUGCAUCCAAUACCUGAUUGCAAAGAUUCUGGCUUAGGAAACUCAGAAUUCAACCAAUUGUUGAUGCUGUUGAUGUUGCUGCUGUCGUGUGUGGCAAGUCACAGCCCCUGUUACUGGGUUACUCUGCCAAACAUCCAGCCAUGUAGCUAAUGAACAAGUCUUACAGACCCAUUUCAGCCAUCUUUUUUCCUUGGGCUUGCGUGACAUGUACUCUGUACCCUGUGUCAGGCCUUGAGAUUGCACAGGUUCCCACUGUGAUAAUGGUCACCUGCCAGACUCCGACUGCGGAGGAGAUGAGGAAAAGUGAGGAAAGGAGGUAGAGAAAGAGAGAGUGUGAGAGAGGCAGGUCGAACUCGAGUCACGAUGCCAUCAGCGGGCGGUUUCCCCGGCAACGGGCAAUUAAAGCGUCCUUUGUCUAA